GAUGAACGCUGGCGGCGUGCUUAACACAUGCAAGUCGAACGGAGGACCCUUGACGGAGUUUUCGGACAACGGAUAGGAAUCCUUAGUGGCGGACGGGUGAGUAACGCGUGAGGAACCUGCCUUGGAGAGGGGAAUAACACAGAGAAAUUUGUGCUAAUACCGCAUGAUGCAGUUGGGUCGCAUGGCUCUGACUGCCAAAGAUUUAUCGCUCUGAGAUGGCCUCGCGUCUGAUUAGCUAGUUGGCAGGGUAACGGCCUACCAAGGCGACGAUCAGUAGCCGGACUGAGAGGUUGACCGGCCACAUUGGGACUGAGACACGGCCCAGACUCCUACGGGAGGCAGCAGUGGGGAAUAUUGGGCAAUGGGCGCAAGCCUGACCCAGCAACGCCGCGUGAAGGAAGAAGGCUUUCGGGUUGUAAACUU
rnacentral:rRNA from 1 species